rnacentral:piRNA from 1 species
UCAAUGUUGUCGAUGGUGGUCUUUCAGC